rnacentral:tRNA from 1 species
GCCUGGGUGGCUUAGUUGGUUAAGUAUCUGACUUCAGCUCAGGUCAUGAUCUUGUGGUUCAUGGGUUUGAGCCCCACAUCAGGCU